rnacentral:rRNA from 1 species
CAAUAGCGUAUAUUAAAGUUGUUGCAGUUAAAAAGCUCGUAGUUGGAUUUGUGGUUUGUCCCGUUGGCCGCGCCUUUAUUGGCGCUGGCUUGAUGGGUCGACCAUCCUUGGGUGGAACCUGUGUGGCAUUAGGUUGUUGCGCAGGGGAUGCCCAUCGUUUACUGUGAAAAAAUUAGAGUGUUCAAAGCAGGCUUAUGCCGUUGAAUAUAUUAGCAUGGAAUAAUGAUAUAGGACCUUGGUACUAUUUUGUUGGUUUGCGCACUGAGGUAAUGAUUAAUAGGGACAGUUGGGGGUAUUCGUAUUCCAUUGUCAGAGGUGAAAUUCUUGGAUUUUUGGAAGACGAACUACUGCGAAAGCAUUUACCAAGGAUGUUUNCAUUA